rnacentral:rRNA from 1 species
UGGGGAAUAUUGGACAAUGGGCGCAAGCCUGAUCCAGCCAUGCCGCGUGAGUGAUGAAGGCCUUAGGGUUGUAAAGCUCUUUUAGCGGGGAAGAUAAUGACGGUACCCGCAGAAAAAGCCCCGGCUAACUUCGUGCCAGCAGCCGCGGUAAUACGAAGGGGGCUAGCGUUGCUUGGAAUUACUGGGCGUAAAGCGCACGUAGGCGGACUCUUAAGUCGGUGGUGAAAUCCUGGAGCUCAACUCCAGAGCUGCCUUCGAUACUGGGAGUCUUGAGUUCGGGAGAGGUGAGUGGAACUGCGAGUGUAGAGGUGAAAUUCGUAGAUAUUCGCAAGAACACCAGUGGCGAAGGCGGCUCACUGGCCCGAUACUGACGCUGAGGUGCGAAAGCGUGGGGAGCAAACA